UGUUUUAUAAAUGGAAUGUACUUUGGCUCUUGCCAAUUGCAAAGGAGGCACUGGAUCAUUUACGCUAAUGGCAAUAUUGUAUCUGAUGUCAGUGGAGAGGCUGUAAUAGGCAAGGUAUGAAUUACUACUAUGCCUUUCUGGUGAGUGAAGUUUUUCUUCUUUUAAAGGAGUGCAAUUGGACAUCUUUCUCAUGAACAGCUUAGUUCCUUUAAGGCUUUAUUACAAUGUUACAAUCAUUUUUAGAAGAAAAGUUCUGUAAAUAUCAACAGUAUUCAACCUUUUUCACAAAAUUAUGAUUAUGAAUUUUUCAUUUUGGUUGUGUUUUGUUCUGUCUUAACAAACAAUUUUUUUCAUAAAAAGCUCCUACACUUCAAAUUUUGAGAAAAAUUCUUUCUCGUUAUGGGUUGGUUUGGUUUGUGGUCAUCAUGGCCAGGUAUAUGACUUUCCAUAACCAGAGAAAAAUAUUUUGUGCUAAUCUAUUUUUUGCAUUUGUCACAACCUUUCAAAGGUCCUCGUGCAUGGCCAAACAGAUUCUACAACUAGCUUUAUCUUUUCAAGUGUGUGCCAUCGAGCAAUAAAACAAUAUAAAUUUUAAUAUUUUCGAAUUAUCCCUUUUAUUGAGUUUGAGAUUAUCAGCUUGGGGAGGGGGCACAUAGACCCACUUGAUAAAUUUUUUUUUUACUGAAUAUAUAUUGUCAUUGUGAUGUUGAACUCACUGUUAUCGAAGUCGGACCUGACUGGCUAGUUGAACUGUUGACAAAAUUGAUCCGGCUGUCCGGAUUUGUAAUUGAAUUGGACAAAGAAUUAACCCCUAAAAACCUGAGUACCGAGUGACCUUGCCAGUUUUUCACUGAGCUUUGUGACCUGGCAGGUUGACCCGGACAAGGAUUUUUUUUUUUUUAGUAGUAUUGGCAAUGGCAAGGUGAUUUGAACACAAGAUCUCAUGGGAGGU
rnacentral:misc_RNA from 1 species